UUGCUCACACGAGCUAUGGAGAAUCCAUAACAAAUGCAGGACCUCAGCAAUCUAUAGGACAUUCAAGACCAGCACUCGAAACAUGAAACCCCUAAUGGCAUGUCAUUUGUAUCCUAAUAAAUCCUAAGGUUCAAACGGGACUCAUUAUCUAUCAACUCAUCAAAGUAUGGAUAUAUUUAUAUAGAUUCAUUUAUGUUAAAACAAUAUAUUAAACCUCCAAUUUAACUAACAUUGAAAUUGUAACACCCCUUACCCGUA
rnacentral:lncRNA from 1 species